rnacentral:rRNA from 1 species
UACAGAGGUCUCAAGCGUUGUUCGGAUUCAUUGGGCGUAAAGGGCGCGUAGGCGGCUUUGCAAGUGACGGGGUGAAAGCCCUCGGCUUAACCGAGGAACUGCCUGUCAGACUGUGAGGCUUGAGACCGGGAGAGGUAAGCGGAAUUCCUGGUGUAGCGGUGAAAUGCGUAGAUAUCAGGAGGAACACCUGUGGUGUAGACAGCUUACUGGACCAUUUCUGACGCUGAGACACGAAAGCGUGGGUAGCAAACAGG